rnacentral:rRNA from 1 species
GAUGAACGCUGGCGGCGUGUCUAAUACAUGCAAGUCGAGCGAAUGGAUUAAGAGCUUGCUCUUAUGAAGUUAGCGGCGGACGGGUGAGUAACACGUGGGUAACCUGCCCAUAAGACUGGGAUAACUCCGGGAAACCGGGGCUAAUACCGGAUAACAUUUUGAACCGCAUGGUUCGAAAUUGAAAGGCGGCUUCGGCUGUCACUUAUGGAUGGACCCGCGUCGCAUUAGCUAGUUGGUGAGGUAACGGCUCACCAAGGCAACGAUGCGUAGCCGACCUGAGAGGGUGCUCGGCCACACUGGGACUGAGACACGGCCCAGACUCCUACGGGAGGCAGCAGUAGGGAAUCUUCCGAAAUGGACGAAAGUCUGACGGAGCAACGCCGCGUGAGUGAUGAAGGCUUUCGGGUCGUAAAACUCUGUUGUUAGGGAAGAACAAGUGCUAGUUGAAUAAGCUGGCACCUUGACGGUACCUAACCAGAAAGCCACGGCUAACUACGUGCCAGCCGCCGCAGUAA